rnacentral:rRNA from 1 species
GAUGAACGCUGGCGGCGUGCCUAAUACAUGCAAGUCGAGCGAACAGACGAGGAGCUUGCUCCUCUGACGUUAGCGGCGGACGGGUGAGUAACACGUGGAUAACCUACCUAUAAGACUGGGAUAACUUCGGGAAACCGGAGCUAAUACCGGAUAAUAUAUUGAACCGCAUGGUUCAAUAGUGAAAGACGGUUUUGCUGUCACUUAUAGAUGGAUCCGCGCCGCAUUAGCUAGUUGGUAAGGUAACGGCUUACCAAGGCAACGAUGCGUAGCCGACCUGAGAGGGUGAUCGGCCACACGGGAACUGAGACACGGUCCAGACUCCUACGGGAGGCAGCAGUAGGGAAUCUUCCGCAGUGGGCGAAAGCAUGACGGAGCAACGCCACGUGAGUGAUGGAGGUCUUCGGAUCGUAAAACUCUGUUAUUAGGGAAGAACAACUGUGUAAGUAACUAUGCACGUCUUGACGGUACCUAAUCAGAAAGCCACGGCUAACUACAUG